rnacentral:rRNA from 1 species
UCAGGCGGCGAGUGAUAAAAUCCGUCGUCAAGAGGGAAACAACCCAGACUACCAGCUAAGGUCCCUAAGUCUUACUUAAGUGGAAAACGAUGUGAAGUUACUUAAACAACCAGGAGGUUGGCUUAGAAGCAGCCAUCCUUUAAAGAAAGCGUAAUAGCUCACUGGUCUAGUGAUUUUGCGCGGAAAAUAUAACGGGGCUAAAGUAAGUACCGAAGCUGUAGACUUAGUUUACUAAGUGGUAGGAGAGCGUUCUAUUUGCGUCGAAGGUAUACCGGUAAGGAGUGCUGGAGCGAAUAGAAGUGAGCAUGCAGGCAUGAGUAGCGAUAAUUAAUGUGAGAAUCAUUAACGCCGUAAACCCAAGGUUUCCUACGCGAUGCUCGUCAUCGUAGGGUUAGUCGGGUCCUAAGUCGAGUCCGAAAGGGGUAGACGAUGGCAAAUUGGUUAAUAUUCCAAUACCAACAUUAGUGUGCGAUGGAAGGACGCUUAGGGCUAAGGGGGCUAGCGGAUGGAAGUGCUAGUCUAAGGUCGUAGGAGGUUAUACAGGCAAAUCCGUAUAACAAUACUCCGAGAACUGAAAGGCUUUUUGAAGUCUUCGGAUGGAUAGAAGAACCCCUGAUGCCGUCGAGCCAAGAAAAGUUUCUAAGUUUAGCUAAUGUUGCCCGUACCGUAAACCGACACAGGUGGGUGGGAUGAGUAUUCUAAGGCGCGUGGAAGAACUCUCUUUAAGGAACUCUGCAAAAUAGCACCGUAUCUUCGGUAUAAGGUGUGGUUAGCUUUGUAUUAGGAUUUACUCCGAAAGCAAGGAAACUUACAACAAAGAGUCCCUCCCGACUGUUUACCAAAAACACAGCACUCUGCUAACUCGUAAGAGGAUGUAUAGGGUGUGACGCCUGCCCGGUGCUCGAAGGUUAAUUGAUGGGGUUAGCAUUAGCGAAGCUCUUGAUCGAAGCCCGAGUAAACGGCGGCCGUAACUAUAACGGUCCUAAGGUAGCGAAAUUCCUUGUCGGUUAAAUACCGACCUGCAUGAAUGGCGUAACGAGAUGGGAGCUGUCUCAAAGAGGGAUCCAGUGAAAUUGUAGUGGAGGUGAAAAUUCCUCCUACCCGCGGCAAGACGGAAAGACCCCGUGGACCUUUACUACAGCUUGACACUGCUACUUGGAUAAGAAUGUGCAGGAUAGGUGGGAGGCUUUGAGUAUAUGACGCCAGUUGUAUAUGAGCCAUUGUUGAGAUACCACUCUUUCUUAUUUGGGUAGCUAACCAGCUUGAGUUAUCCUCAAGUGGGACAAUGUCUGGUGGGUAGUUUGACUGGGGCGGUCGCCUCCCAAAUAAUAACGGAGGCUUACAAAGGUUGGCUCAGAACGGUUGGAAAUCGUUCGUAGAGUAUAAAGGUAUAAGCCAGCUUAACUGCAAGACAUACAAGUCAAGCAGAGACGAAAGUCGGUCUUAGUGAUCCGGUGGUUCUGUGUGGAAGGGCCAUCGCUCAAAGGAUAAAAGGUACCCCGGGGAUAACAGGCUGAUCUCCCCCAAGAGCUCACAUCGACGGGGAGGUUUGGCACCUCGAUGUCGGCUCAUCGCAUCCUGGGGCUGGAGCAGGUCCCAAGGGUAUGGCUGUUCGCCAUUUAAAGCGGUACGCGAGCUGGGUUCAGAACGUCGUGAGACAGUUCGGUCCCUAUCUGCCGUGGGCGUAAGAAGAUUGAAGAGAUUUGACCCUAGUACGAGAGGACCGGGUUGAACAAACCACUGGUGUAGCUGUUGUUCUGCCAAGAGCAUCGCAGCGUAGCUAAGUUUGGAAAGGAUAAACGCUGAAAGCAUCUAAGCGUGAAGCCAACUCUAAGAUGAAUCUUCUCUAAGCUCUCUAGAAGACUACUAGUUUGAUAGGCUGGGUGUGUAAUGGAUGAAAGUCCUUUAGCUGACCAGUACUAAUAGAGCGUUUGGCUUAUCUUUAAUAAAGCAU